rnacentral:rRNA from 1 species
UAAGACGGAGGGUGCAAGCGUUGUUCGGAUUGACUGGGCGUAAAGGGCGUGUAGGCGGUUGCCCAAGUCCGAUGUGAAAGCCCGAGGCUCAGCCUCGGAAGUGCAUCGGAAACUAGGCAGCUGGAGCGCGAUAGAGGAGGGUAGAAUUCCUGGUGUAGCGGUGAAAUGCGUAGAUAUCAGGAGGAAUACCGGCGGCGAAGGCGGCCCUCUGGAUCGUUGCUGACGCUGAGACGCGAAAGCGUGGGGAGCAAACAGGAUUAGAUACCCUGGUAGUCCACGCUGUAAACGAUGGGUACUAGGUGUUCGGGGUAUUGACCCCCUGAGUGCCGCAGUUAACGCAUUAAGUACCCCGCCUGGGGACUACGGCCGCAAGGUUA